UCGUAACAAGGUUUCCGUAGGUGAACCUGCGGAAGGAUCAUUAAAAUACUUUUCAAAACUUUGUUUUGAAUUAAAAGCAACCACCGUUAAGUUCAAAAAUCUAAAACAAAACUUUCAACAACGGAUCUCUUGGUUCUCGCAUCGAUGAAGAACGCAGCGAAUUGCGAUACGUAGUAUGACUUGCAGACGUGAAUCAUCGAAUCUUUGAACGCAUAUUGCGCCUUGGGGCAUUCCCCAAGGCAUGCCUGUUUGAGCGUGAUAUCUUCUCACCGUUGGUGGAUUUGUUUCUAAAUAUCAUGCCACAGUGAAGUCUACGCUUUCACUGCUUUUUCCCCUCAAAUCAGGUAGGACUACCCGCUGAACUUAAGCAUAUCAAUAAGCGGAGGAAAAGAAACCAACAGGGAUUGCCUCAGUAACGGCGAGUGAAGCGGCAAGAGCUCAACUUUGGAAUCGCUGCGGCGAGUUGUAGUCUGGAGGUGGCCGGUCCCGGCGCCAGCGCGCAGCCAAGUCCUUUGGAACAAGGCGCCUGAGAGGGUGACAGCCCCGUGGCAGUUUGUGCUGGUGCCGCCUCGGCCCACCGACGAGUCGAGUUGUUUGGGAAUGCAGCUCUAAGUGGGUGGUAAAUUCCAUCUAAAGCUAAAUACCGGCGAGAGACCGAUAGCGAACAAGUACAGUAAUGGAAAGAUGAAAAGCACUUUGAAAAGAGAGUGAAACAGUACGUGA
rnacentral:misc_RNA from 1 species